rnacentral:pre_miRNA from 1 species
AGUGGAAUAGCUGGGUCAAAUGGUGGUUCCAUUCCAAGUUUUCUGAGGAAUCUCCAUACUGCUCACCAAAGUGGUUGUACCAAUUUUAGUCCCAUCAGCAAU